UCCUAGGGCCAUACCACCCUGAACACGCAGAAUCUCCUCUCAUCUCAGCAGCUAACUAGGGUUGGGCCUGGUGAGUAAUUGGAUGGAAGACCUGGAAAUAUCAGGGUCUGUAGGUU
rnacentral:rRNA from 1 species